UCCAGAGUAGGAAAUCGUGCGUUAAGUGUCCGUCAGACGGGGAGUUGCUGUCGGGACGAAAAGCGAGAACGAUCGCUUGCGGUACGGUUUCCGCAUCCCGCUGAA
rfam:Ruminococcus callidus ATCC 27760 genomic scaffold Scaffold541, whole genome shotgun sequence.